AGAGUUUGAUCAUGGCUCAGGAUGAACGCUAGCGGCAGGCCUAACACAUGCAAGUCGAGGGGUAACAUUGGUGCUUGCACCAGAUGACGACCGGCGCACGGGUGCGUAACGCGUAUACAAUCUACCUUUUGCUAAGGGAUAGCCCAGAGAAAUUUGGAUUAAUACCUUAUAGUAUGUAGACUUCUCAUGAAGAUUACAUUAAAGAUUACGGCAAAAGAUGAGUAUGCGUCCUAUUAGUUUGUUGGUGUGGUAACGGCACACCAAGACUACGAUAGGUAGGGGCCCUGAGAGGGGGAUCCCCCACACUGGUACUGAGACACGGACCAGACUCCUACGGGAGGCAGCAGUGAGGAAUAUUGGACAAUGGAGGCAACUCUGAUCCAGCCAUGCCGCGUGCAGGAAGACUGCCCUAUGGGUUGUAAACUGCUUUUAUACAGGAAGAAACACUCCCUCGUGAGGGAGCUUGACGGUACUGUAAGAAUAAGGAUCGGCUAACU
rnacentral:rRNA from 1 species